rnacentral:pre_miRNA from 1 species
CUCUUCUUAGUCUACAAGUUUGUUCCUCUAUUUGAUGCUAAAGGUGGAUGAUCUAGUUGAAACAUUUAACAAAUGAUAUUGUUAAAUAUUGUAGUAUUCUUACCUUUAGCGUCAAGAGACGAACACACCCACCCAACGGAAAAGGC